rnacentral:rRNA from 1 species
UGGGGAAUAUUGCACAAUGGGGGAAACCCUGAUGCAGCGACGCCGCGUGAGCGAAGAAGGUUUUCGAAUCGUAAAGCUCUGUCCUAUGAGAAGAUAAUGACGGUAUCAUAGGAGGAAGCCCCGGCUAAAUACGUGCCAGCAGCCGCGGUAAUACGUAUGGGGCGAGCGUUGUCCGGAAUUAUUGGGCGUAAAGGGUACGUAGGCGGUCUAUUAAGUCAGGUGUGAAAGCGUGAGGCUUAACCUCAUUAAGCACUUGAAACUGAUAGACUUGAGUGAAGGGGAGGAAAGUGGAAUUCCUAGUGUAGCGGUGAAAUGCGUAGAUAUUAGGAGGAAUACCGGUGGCGAAGGCGACUUUCUGGACUUUUACUGACGCUCAGGUACGAAAGCGUGGGGAGCAAACAGG